rnacentral:rRNA from 1 species
GAUGAACGCUAGCGGCAGGCUUAAUACAUGCAAGUCGAACGGUAAGCUUGGUAGCAAUACUAAGUCAAGAGUGACGUACGGGUGCGUAACACGUAUGCAACCUACCUUGUACAGGAGGAUAGCUCGGGGAAACUCGAAUUAACCCUCCAUGAGAUAGUAGUGAGGCAUCUCACAGUUAUUAAAACUCAGGUGGUACAAGAUGGGCAUGCGUCUGAUAGUUAGUUGGCGGGGUAAUGGCCCACCAAGACGAUGAUCAGUAGGGGACCUGAGAGGGUGACUCCCCCACACUGGCACUGAGAUACGGGCCAGACUCCUACGGGAGGCAGCAGUAGGGAAUAUUGGUCAA